rnacentral:rRNA from 1 species
GACGAACGCUGGCGGCGUGCUUAACACAUGCAAGUCGAACGGUGAAGCGCCUUCCUUUUUGGUGGGUGUGGAUGAGUGGCGAACGGGUGAGUAACACGUGAGUAACCUGCCCCCUUCUUCUGGAUAACCGCAUGAAAGUGUGGCUAAUACGGGAUAUUCUGGGUCUGUCGCAUGAUGGGUCUGGGAAAGAUAUUGUUUCGGUGGGGGAUGGGCUCGCGGCCUAGCAGCUUGUUGGUGGGGUGAUGGCCUACCAAGGCGGUGACGGGUAGCCGGCCUGAGAGGGUGGACGGUCACACUGGGACUGAGACACGGCCCAGACUCCUACGGGAGGCAGCAGUGGGGAAUAUUGCACAAUGGGCGCAAGCCUGAUGCAGCGACGCCGCGUGAGGGAUGGAGGCCUUCGGGUUGUGAACCUCUUUCGCCAGUGAAGCAGGCCUGCCUCGUUUGUGGGUGGGUUGACGGUAGCUGGAUAAGAAGCGCCGGCUAACUACGUG